CACUCAAGUCCAUUCCUGCCACAUCUGCGCCUAGGAAACAGAGAAGGUUAUCUUCAGCAUUCACUUCAGCAACAACAUCUUGAUUUUAUGAAAAAUAAAAAUGUAAGACAUCGAGAUAAAAACAUCCAAACGUAUAUGUGUUGGGAUUGAUGUCUGAAACGAGAAUACCUUAGCAUCCUUCACAGUGAUCAUAGAAAGAGGAGAAGAUGAAUCCAACUGGAAUGGAAAAACAAAGAGAGGGAUGUAACUUGGAGGGAUGAAGAAGUCAAUACAGAAGAAGGAAGAGGGGACAGGGACAAAUGGCACCGAGGUUGUUUGAGAAGGAUUCAAGUAAUCAUAUUAAAUAUUUACUAAAAACUCUACAUAGUAA